rnacentral:rRNA from 1 species
AAGGGCGCACGGUGGAUGCCUUGGCAUGAUGAGCCGAUGAAGGACGUGGGAGACUGCGAUAUGCCUCGGGGAGUUGUCAACUGAGCGUUGAUCCGAGGAUGUCCGAAUGGGGAAACCCGGCCGUGGUUAUGUGCGGUCACCUGCCGGUGAAUGUAU